UACGUAGGGGGCGAGCGUUGUCCGAAUUUACUGGGCGUAAAGCGCGCGUAGGCGGGUUGUUAAGUGAGGGGUGAAAGGUUCGGGCUCAACCCGGACACUGCCUUUCAUACUGGCGACCUUGAGUUUGGGAGAGGCGAGUGGAAUGGUCGGUGUAGCGGUGAAAUGCGUAGAUAUCUGCAGGAACACCCGUGGCGAAAGCGGCGCGCUGGACCACUACUGACGCUGAGGAACGAAAGCUAGGGGAGCAAACGGG
rnacentral:rRNA from 1 species